rnacentral:rRNA from 1 species
ACCCGACUGCUAUCGGGGUGGGACUAACCCAUGGAAGUCUAGGGGCCGAGGCCAUGUUCGGCCCCGGCGGACGGCUCAGUAACGCGUGGCUAACCUACCCUCGGGAGGGGGAUAACCCCGGGAAACUGGGGCUAAUCCCCCAUAGGCGCGGGCGCCUGGAAUGGUCCCGCACCGAAACGGGUGCGGCGACAUGCCCGCCGCACACCGCCCGAGGAUGGGGCUGCGUCCUAUCAGGUAGUUGGCGGGGUAACGGCCCGCCAAGCCGAUAACGGGUAGGGGCCGUGAGAGCGGGAGCCCCGAGAUGGGCACUGAGACAAGGGCCCAGGCCCUACGGGGCGCACCAGGGGCGAAACCUCCGCAAUGCGGGAAACCGUGACGGGGUCACCCCGAGUGCCACCCGAAGAGGGUGGCUUUUGCCCGGUCUAAACAGCCGGGCGAAUAAGCGGGGGGCAAGACUGGUGUCAGCCGCCGCGGUAAUACCAGCCCCG